GAGGUCAGUAAUCCUCUCUCUUUAUACAAAGCUCCAUGGGCAUGAGUGGUUAAAAACGCGUACUUUGAGUCUGUGUAGAUAUUUACUUUCAACCCUUCAGCCAAUUGCAAAGCCCAUGUAAGUGCGAUUAAUUCUGCCUUCUGUGCUGAUGUUCCUUUUGACAAUGGCCGCGCUUCUAUCACCUUGUCUAUAGUUGUCACUGCAUAUCCGGCAUAGCGAAUCCCUUCUUUCACGUAACUACUGCCGUCCGUGUAAGACUGAACAUCGGAGUUCUGGAUGGGAAAAUCAUGAAGGUUCGGUCUACUUGAGAACACUUCAUCCAUUACCUCCAGGCAAUCAUGUCGACUCUCA